CAUGACAGUGGGACCCAGAUUUGGAACUACACCACCUGCCAGUCAGAGGCAGGAGCGGCCACUCCGCCGCUGUCCUGUGUGAAAUCCUGUCACAGCUGGUAGAGCCAGCCCAACAAGUAACUCCAGAGACACAGGCACGAGGCUCCCGCCCCUGCUGUGCUGCCCUCACACCAGCCUCCCCAGAAGCAGGGGACACGCUGAGUCCAUCCAGGACCGGAGCUGCAGGCACCCUGGCAGCGCAGGUGUGCUGGUUGCCCUGUCUUCCUUCCAGCUUCCUGGUCUCUGUGGCGGGAGGAGGCUCACCGUGGACGUUUCCUUCGAGCAUUGUUUUCUUUCUAAACCAACCUGGACUGCUGUGGCUACGACUUUAAUCACCCCUUUCAGCCACUGAACUCUGUAGCCCUUUGCCUGCCAGCGUAUCCACCCUGCAAACCGCACCAGACAAUAUCUGUUUCCUUUCUGUGAAAGAUGAUUUUCUGCAUUUCCCAGCUCCCAGGUUCAAAUAUUUUAAAUCCAGUCUGGAUUUCACAGUGAAUUUGUGUGACAUACAAUCUCCACCUCUAGUUCGUAUGUCAUGGGAGAGCACACCUCCCAGCAUGAUGGUCCUGGUGAGUGAAACUGAAAAGAGGCCACUUCUGUUUCUGUACCACUGAGUGAUUUUGUCCUGUAGGUCGAUCUGACAUAUGAAAAUGAGGAAUCUGGCAUGAAUCAGAGCCGGGCACAGAAAGGGACCAGCAAAUACCACAGAAACAGAAUGAGAGGGAAUGCAGCUUCCCUUUGGAGGCGCCUACGUCCCAUGAUCUCAGCUCAUUUCACUUCGGCCCUACCAGGCUGCCAUGCUUCCCAUUCUGCAGACAAGAGAACCACGCCUCAGGGAGGCCAAAGCAUUCUUUAGGUCAGUGGUUGGCAAACUGCGGCUUUUUGGCCCCUUGAGCGUGACUCUUCCACAAAAUACCGCAUGCGGGUGCACACAUACAGUGCGAUUGAAACUUCGUGGCCCAUGAGCAGAAGUCAGUAUUUUGUGGAAGAGCCACACGCAAGGGGCCAAAGAGCUGCAUGUGGCUCGCGAGCUGCAGUUUGCCGACUGCUGCAUUAGGUCAUGCACAUGCGUGUCAGUAAAGGAAGGUCACAAAAUGGGGCCCUUGGGCAAAAUGUGGUCCAAAGGUGUGUUUUAUUUAGGCAACACACAAAGCUAUUGAAAAGUUACACACACACACACACACACACACACACACACACACUAAUUUUCAGGUUUCCUUGAAAAAAUGGAAAAUGGACUUGAGCUGAAUAGACUGUCGCCUUUGGUGAGGCACGCUCCAGCUCACCGCAGUCCCCACCAGAGCUGCCGUUCAUCUACACAGUGUUGCUUUCUAGCACAGGGUACCCUGGGCCUGAGCAUACGUGGUGCUUUGUCACUGGUACAUUUCCAUAGCAGACGCCUUACAAAAAGGUGGGCAAAGGAGGCUGGCUCCUCUCCGGACGUGCAGCCCAUCACAGGAACGCUGGGCAUGCGGAGAAUGAGGGCAGCGACAACAAUAGUGGGAGACACCAGCUUUGGAAGUUGGUCUGGCUGUGGCAUCAUUUCCACGGGAAAAGCUGUAUUUCAUAUUCUAACAACUGAUUUACAAAUCUUCUCUGCUUUAAAAUGUUUUCAUUGGAAAUUGUUUUAUAACAACUAUAAAACUAUAUUUUAUUCUUCUCAUUGAGUUUUUAAGUUCUUA